UGAAAAUCAAUGUUUGAAUAAAUAUAUGUUGUAUGAAAGUAAAGAAAAUUCGCUACAGUACAAUGAAGCCUCACCCCUUCUUGCGUGUUUUUGUGCUCUUCCUCUAACGCCUUAAGAUGCUAAAAGUUGGUGUCAAAGCAGCCGUUCGUCUAUGGCAACUGAUUUGGAACUAGGAAGCACACCAAUUCCAAUGAAAGCGACCCACCUUAACUCUCCUAUGAAUACACCAUCAAGCACACCACCGUGCUGUCCGUGUGCUCACUCUGAUAAUUCACUGGAGCCUCUGCACUUCACUAAGGUGGAAAAAAUGUGGUGCAUACCAAAAGAAAAUCUUCGCAUGAUGGCUGCUACACCAUAGCAGAAAGCCAAACUUAAUGUUAUUUUUUUUGCCUCAGCACAGAAAGGGUUCUUCCACAUCGUCGCUGUCUGACAGUGGAGCUAAGAGGUCACCUGGUGGUGGUCCUCCACAGUGGUCUCCACUUGGACUCCGAUGAUGAAGCUGUGACCACUCGUGCGCGUCCUCUUCGUCUUUAACAUGGGGGGGCUGUGGACCGUCCGGGUCCAACCUGGACCUCUCCCACUGCACCUGAAGGAGACGUUUUCCCUGCUGGACGUCUGCAAGACACAAGCAACACAAACACAGUAUAGAUCACAUGGGUCAAAUAUCAUAUGGUAUGACAUGGAACAAAGUCAGACUCGUCAAGGUGGUGUUCAAAAAGAAUCUUUUACCACAUUGUCAGCAAUCAUUAGUUUUUUAAAUCCGGUUUCUGGACUCGUGUCUAGUAUGAUGUUUCGCAAAACUAGGUCUACAAACUGAACAGGUAACAUUUUCAUUUUUUUUUUUUACACUUAUGUGAAGCUUUGUUGUUGUCUUUUCAGAGCAUUUCAACUGUU